CUCUCUUUUUGCCUGCUGCCAUCCACGUAAGAUGUGACUUGCACCUCCUUGUCUUCUGCCACGAUUGUGAGGCUUCCCCAGCCAUGUGGAACUAAAUAUUCUUUCAUUAAUAUUACAUGCUUAUGGAACUUUACCUAUUGAUUAAAGACAUCUACCCCUGGAGAAAGAGCCCAAUGAGAAGUAAUCUCUGAAGCCCAGAUUUCCUAAGGAUGAAGCUUCAGGAGAGGCCUUAUCAAUCCUGACAACAAACUUUUCUCGUCAAUUUAGUUUCAUUUAAUGGAAGUUUUAAAUGUGUAAAGUUCAGAAGGCUAUUAAAAUUGGUUCCAGCUAUCUAAGAUACACACACAACCACACACGCGCACACACGGUAGAGAUAAAUAUGUUCGAAAAUCCAGCUCAAUGUUACUAGAAAAUUUGAUCAGAAUCUGGUGAAAUAAAUAGUAAACUUACUAAAAAUGCCAAAUAUCCCAGAAGCUGCUUAACAUUUGAUCAAAAGCUCUGUCCAGUCAAUUCCUGCUUCUUUCAAAAAUACUCUGCUGAAAAGCCAAAGGAGAAAUGGGGCUGGUACCUUCAAUAUAGAGAAUUCCAAGUAAGAUUAGAUCCCAGAAGGCUUAGUGUGGCUUUCUAGGACUCUCACUAUUAGGCAGUAACCUACCAUUCACCUCUGUUUCCCAGAUUCACCUUGUUAUACCUUAUAACUUAAAAUAUAAAUUCCAACAAUGUACUGCACUCAAAAAAAUUAUUUCUCAAUUUGUUUGCUCAUACUAUUGAUUUUUUUCUAGAAUCUAAAUAAUUGUGAAUUAACUAUGAUAGCAGUAUGCACAAACAGUAAGUGAAAUCAGACCUAUUAAUUCUGAGAGGAAGGAGGUGUCAGGAUUUUCACAGAAGAAGAGCACUAAGGCCAGGCGCAGUGGCUCAUGCCUGUAAUCCCAGCACUUUGGGAGGCUGAGGCAGGCGGAUCAGGAGGUCAGGAGUUCUAGACCAGCCAGACAAACAUGGUGAAACCCCGUCUCUACUAAAAAUACAAAAAUUACACGCCUGUAAUCCCAGCUACUCAGGAGGCUGAGGCAGAAGAAUCGCUUAAACCCGGGAGGCGGAGGUUGCAGUGAGCUGAGAUCGCGCGACUGCACUCCAGCUUGGGCGACAGAGCAAGACUCCAUCAAAAAAAAAAAAAAAAAAAAAAAAGCAAAGCACUAAAUCUCGUAUGUGAAAGAUGAGUAGAUUUUUCCUAACAGGAGCAAUAAAAAUUAGAGCUAAAAAUAAUUUCAUGAAGCAAAAUAUUCAAAGAAGAUGAAGAAUGAAUAAAGACAAUUGAUCUGGUAAUUCACAAGCCAAGCUUCAGUAAGUGGUAGGAUAGACGCUGAUUUUUAAGUGUAAAAUGAGCAAAUUAUGCUGAAUAAAGAAAAUUAUUUAAAAAUUGUCAAGAAAUAACUAGAGACCCAGGGAAGACAAUUUUCAUUUUAAGGCUUAAUAAUGUUUGCAGACUGAAGGAAAAGAUGCAGUGGAGGAUGAGAGACCUUAGCAGGGGAUUAAAAUAGUGGAGCAUUUUUGUGGCAAUGCCAUUCAAUAAGAAGACAGCAUUGGAAAGAAGAGAGACAUUUAUUCCUCCUAGGUAGGAAGCAAAAAGUAGAAAUUUGUAAAGAAAAAAGUAUUGGGAGAUAAAGAAGAAUCACAGGUGUAAUCCUGAACAUCCUAAAUCAAAAUUAUUGUUUAUGUAUUUCUCCUUCCAGAAAUGAAACUUGUAAUAGACGAUCUGUGGCUUAAUAACCUUCUAUCUCCAGCACCUGACGUAUGGCAGGUCUCUCAAUAUAUAAUUAAGAUAUGGAUCUAUGGAGGUACAAUAAUUCUUGUUAUAUGAAUCACUAUUCCUGAAGUUGGAGUAUAUUGGCUCAUCUGGGAAUAGGGAAAUUGGCAGUUAGUUGAGAGACCAUUGGAACACCUGCUGAAAGAAACGUGAUAAUGAUUCAAGGGGAGGAAAAAAAAAAAAAAGAAAACCAAGUGAGGAAUGACCACAAUAACACUAACUUGAAGUGGAUGCAGUCGGCAUAUUUUUGAAAAUGUUUUAAAUCAACAACUUCUAUUUGGAGAGCAGAUGUAAUUACACCAGACAGCAGAGAUAAUAAAUAAAUAUCAGUGCAGUCACAGUGGUGUGGCCGGAGUAUCAGUGCCUCGGUUGCUAUGGGCAGCAGAAGACACAGAUGCCUCUGGCAUCCUAGCUGGCAAUGAAGAAAAAUAAACACAGAAUUAGGCUUCAGGUUAGAGAAUAACAGAAUAAUAGAGGUUAGGAUUUAGACAGAAAAAAACAGGCUUGCUGGAGUUAUGGAAGUGGGAGAGACGAAACAAGUGAAAAAGAACUUCUCUUCUUGUAAUUUCUCAUGUUCAAGGAAAGGAAAUGUCAGCAUUCAAAAUUGCAGAGAAUGAGAAAACAAAUGUGAUGAUUUUGAUCAAGGUCAUGUUUAUGCCGGUGAUUAACAGAUAAAAUGAAGAGUCCUUGGCAUCAUAGGAGGGACUCUGAGCCAGAGUGCUAAAAGGACCAUCUACUUAAAUGAUGGAGUUCAUAAUAAGAUUGGAGUGGAGAAAAAUUAUGAAGCAAGUACUCAGAAAAUGAGAAUGUUAGGAGGUUACAGGUUGAUGGCUUUAAGGAUGGAGAGAAUAUACGUUAUGAUAAACAUAAAAAAGUGGAUGGUGGAACAAAAGUUGCCUGAAAUUGGCAGCUGUGAGUAAUUAAUCUUUAACAUCUCUUCCUUACUUAAGUAGAAAAAGGGCCUCCAUCAAAAUGGUAGUGAGAAUUUUAUCCAUCAGAGACAACACACUUUCAGUUGCAGAUGAGACAUGGAAAAUAUUCUCACACAAAAUGUGGUCAAGAAAAGGAGUAAUAGUACUUAUUUUUCUAAUUGAAUACAUAAUAAUAUUAAUAUACAUUAUCUGUAAAUAUUCAUAUUGAUCAUGGGAGAGGUAAUCAGAAUAUAUAAUAUUGACAGCUGAAUUGAAAUUAAUAUAUUUUUCUAAAAAAAUGAGAUUAUGGGUAAUGAACCAAUAUUGGCUAGGUGAAAAUUGUCUAGUUUUUACAACUAGAAAUGCUUCCUCUCAAACACUUAUCAAAAUCACAGGUGUAUUUUAGGCUGCUAUAUUUGCCAAAUGAAAACAGGAUACUGACAUUCAUACACACAAACAUGCAAGCAUAUGCUGAAAUUUUCAUUCCAGAUGUCUACAAAAGAGAACAGAUAAUACGAAGUUCGUUACCUAUUUCAAGUUACCUCUGAGAUUCCUUACGCUGAAGACAAAUAUUCUAUUAAAAAAGAGUCCUUAAAUAGGCCAUAAGAACCCGAAUCCUUUCAUAAAGAGUGAAAGAGUAUGGUUAUUUUUGAUAACAAUUAUUAUCAAAAUAAAUUAUUUUUACUUCUAAAUUAGUACUGAUUACAUCUGAAGGUUUUUGUUUCUCUGAUACCAGGAUUUAAAAUUAUUUCAGAAAGCAUGAUUAGUUUUAGUGUCUGUAGAUCUUUGCUGUCAGUGAAUUAAAGUAUUUUUGAAAAAGGAAUAUGUAUUCCUGAAAAGUGAUCUAUACUUUAUAGAAAAUUACCUAUUUGUGUAAAUAUAGGAAAACAGCUCUAACAUUAAAAUAUGUGCAUCAAUUGGAUUCAGAGUGUUGCAUGAGGUUUCAACUUUAAAGAAGUAUUUAUAACAUUUGGAGAAACAAAAUUAACAAGAAAAAGUAAAACCAAAAUAUUAAAAAUAAAGGUAAUAUUCCUCAUCAGAAAAUAAGAAAAAAAUACCAACAAUUGUGGUAAUACCAAAGUGAUUUUAAAAAUACAUUUUUUUUUUUUGUUCAUUGGUUGUCUUGUUCAAUUCAGUCAAACAUAAGCCAACAAGAUAAGACUCCACAUAGAUCUUUUUAAGUUACCAAGUGUUGUGUGUGCCGCUCUAACUGUCCAUGGUUUCUGUUUUUUCUACUAAAAUUCUAGCAUACUAAAUUCUGUAUGGUAUUUUUUCUAGCAUUAUCUCUGGAAAAUUAGACCAGUGACUAAUACAAUUACUCUUUUAGUUUUCAUAGAUUUGACUAUAUGUCUGAGCCUGGAGUUGUUUGCGUUUAUUCUAUUUCGGAGUCACUCAGUUUCCUGAGUCUAUAGAUUAGUUUUUCACCAAAUUUGGGAAGUUUUCAGUCAUUAUUUCCUCAAGUAAUUGUUAAGCCCCAUAUCCUUUUUCCUCUCAUUCUAGGACUGCAGUGACACAAACAUUAACUAUGUCAUUAUUGCUCCAGAAGUCUUUGAGGCUCAGUUUUUUUUUUUCUUAUCUGUUUUCUCUCGUUGUUUAGAUUGGGUAAUCUCUACUAAUCUACCUUAAAUCUUACUGAUCCUUUCCUCUGUCAUUUCCAUUUUGUGAUUUUGUCCAUAUGCUGAGAUUGCUAUUUGGAAUAUUUUUACAGUACCUUGUUUAACAUUCUUGCUCAAUAAUUUUAACAUUUGUAUCAUCUUAGUGUUAUAGUCUAUUGAUUGUCGUUUCUUACUUGAUUUGAGAUUCUCCUAGUCCUUAGUAUGUCAAGUGACUUUGGACUAUAAUUUGGACACUACAUGUAUUAUGACGUAAGACUAAAGUUAUUACUUCGAUCUUUUACUUAAGUGGGUAUUCCACCUGUUUAGUUUCAAAAUACAUGUCCUAGCUCACUUUUGUUAGCUAUUGUUCAAAUUUCAAUUUGGUUUCUAAAUCCCCUGGAGUCCAGUAUCCCCCAGUCACAGUUGUAUGUGACUCAGGUGACAGGACUCUGCCCCACAAUCUUCUCAUCAUGGACUGGGGAGACAGAGGAAAAUUACUUCACUGCCACAGAGGAUGGUGGAAUUCAGAGUUCCAGGCACAUGUCCAUAGGGAAAUGGCACUUACACAUUAAAACUGGUCAGAAAUGAAUGGCAGAGUGACACCCACAGGCUUCAGUAGAUAGCGGUGCCUCCUGAUACUGGGAUGGGGUGGAGAACAGGCUUACGCCCCAUAUCUCUGCAGGGAUGGUGAGACUGCCUGAAUACCAUGGAAGAGGGAGAUGGAAGUCUGAGCUGUGCACAUAAGCUCCACUGGGGAGAGGUACAACCCAGUUACUGCAGAAGAAGGGAGAAAGUCAGAGGGGUCAUAGUCUCUACGGGGAAGGAAGGCCAUCUCAUUCCUGCAGAAGGUGGGUAGAUGUGAGUUCCACCCACAACCUCCAUGGUGGGGGGAUGCUACCUCCUUACUCCAGGAAGAGGGUGGAAGACAGGGUUCUAUCCCCAGUCCCACAGUUAUAGCACUCAUUGAGGUGGAGAUAGAACACAUUUUUUUUCAUAGUAUUCCUCUUGAAGAAAGAUAAGUAUGGUUAAAAUAUUUCUGCUAUGCUGGGUUACCCUUUUUCCUGGUACUUUCACUAGAGACAGAUGAUACAGAAGAGAAAGGGUGGGAGGGGGGGAGAGAUAUAGACCACAAAGAAAAAUAGAAAGGUGAAUAAUUCCUGAUAAUAUUAGAUGAGGUUAUUUAUUAAGACCUACUUUACACAUUUACUACAAGGUAUAAUUGACAAAAGGUAAAGAUCAUUUGUAAUGAGAAACUUUCUGCCGCUUGUAUAAUACAGUGUCUGUACUUUCACCAAUAGCUUCUCUAUUUAACAUUAUGUGGUUCUAAAUAAUCUUUCAAAACACAUACUAACCUGUUUCUCUGUAAUAUCAUCUCACAGACAGAUUUAAGGAUAAGUUAAGUGUUUUAAAAAUCUAUUUAUAUUAAAUUAUAUAAGAAUGGAGGCAGGAAGACAGAGCUUGGAACAUUAUCUACAAUUAGUGUCUUAUAUUGCCAUGGUCAGAAUGUUUGUGUCCUCCCCCAAAUGUAUAUGUUGAAACCUAAUUCCUAAAUUUGAUGGGGUUUAGGGAAGUGAUUUGGUUAUAAAGGUAGCAACUGUCAUGAAUGGAAUUAGUGCCUUUAUAUGGGGCUGAAGAUACCAGAGUUCUUCCCUUCUACUCUGUCAGGAGAUAGCAACAAGCUGGCUAUCUGCAACCCAGAAGAAGGCCUUCACCAAAACUCAACCAUGCUGGCAUUCUAAUCUAGAACUUCCAGCCUCCAGAGCUGUGACAAAUAAAUUUCUAUUAUUUAUAGGUCAUCCAGUCUAUGGCAUUUUGUUAUAACAGUCCAAACUGACUAAAACAACCACAAAGGCAGAAAAUGCUAGUUUUCUACUAAAUGGUCAUAAAGAAUUGAAUAAGUGAUCAAAAAAACAUGAGACAGCUGUCUGUAAAUUUCUGUACCCCCUUCCUCCAUCGUAAUAAAAAUUUUUAGCUCUACAUACAGAUACAGGAAAUAAAAAAUACUUUCCAAAUUUGCACCUGGGCAUAGCCAAGCAACUAACACUUGCAUUAGGAUGUGGGUAAUGGGUAUGCAUCUGCAUUCCGGGAGAUGCCCUUUGAUAAGGUGUGCCAUCCUUUUUUUCUCUUCCUCUUCUCACUUGUUCAUAUUGAACACUGAAGGGGCAGUAUAGCAUCUUGGGAAGCAGCAGAGUUACCAUAUAGACAAGUAGAGAAAACUUUUGACUUUGCAGAGUGGGGCUGUGUUGACUGCUUGACAUUUUACAAAAGAGAAAAAAUGAACUUCUAUCAUGUUAAUUCUACUCACAUUUGGGAUUGUCUCGUGCUUAAACUCAUAGCCGAACUAAUACAGAAAGGAAGAGAGCAUGAAGAAGUAUAACAUUUCUUACAGCUUCAGCCCAGUCUAUCCAUAUGAGCAGCUGAUAAGUCUAUUGAAUCAUUUCAUACCAAGUCACAGAAAAAAAAAAAGUGUUUUUCAAUUGUUGUGUGGCAGUGGGGAGAGGUGGUAAGGGGGAUAUGUCACACUUCAUUUGUUUUACAAGUAUUUAAGAAAUAUGUCCACAUAUUUGAUCCAAUAGUGUAUUUGAAGGAGAGUUAAAUAAUCAAUAUUUGAAAUCCAUCAUUUCUUCUUGAGCAUCUUAUGUAAUUCUAAUAGUUUGCAAAAUUGCUAAAUAUGAGUGAACUGAUACAAAGGAUUAUCUUUUCUUAAACUAGAUAAGUGAUGAUCCUAAGAUGAUCAAUGUAUGUCAGCAUGGCUAUUUCAAGGAAAUUGUUUAUGUUGAUAAAAAGCUCAGACCUAAACCCAGCUUGAAGUCUUAAGUAUUAUUGAGAUAAUAAAUGAAGAAAUUCAUCAUUUAAUGCAUUUCAUAACAAAUAAAGGAAACUAUUUUGCUUAAUGGGUCUACUAAGUAAAAUCCCACAGAAAGCUACAUAGGACCUUGACAUGUGAUAUCUGUUUAUGGUAAAAAGAAUGUAAUAAAUUAAAAUCUGAUGUGACUAUAUUCAUGCUUUUUAUACAUUUAUGAAAUAAACUAUAGUAAAAACCUAAAUUUAAAAACCGUAUUUCUAAAGUUAGAUUUUUUAGUAUUAAGUGUUGUCAUGAUAUAAUAAAGCUUCAAUCAGUUUGAUUUUUAAGUAGGUGUGAAAAUUUAAUAUUAUAAAUUCAUAUCGGAAUGAAUUAUUUAUCCCCAGGGGGAUCACACUCACAUUGAAAAAAGAAGUUUUACUGUAAUGUGGAAUUACUUACUAUUUUCUUCCGAAUAUGUUAUAACCGUAUUUGGCAUGUUUCAAAGUUAUAUUUAAUAAAGAAAAUGCAUGUUUCUAUAUAUGCUGCUAUGAAUACAAAGUGCCUCAAAACUUACUGGCUUAAGACAUCUCUAUUUCCUAAUGUUCCAAUGUGUCAGGAACAUAAGAAGGAAUCAGCUGGACAGCUGUGCCCUGUAGUGUUAGCACCAUUCACUCUCUCUCUUCACUUCACUGGAAGGUAGAAAAAGUUCACUCACAUGUCUGGAGCCCAUGUACUCCUUCAUGUGUUCUCUUCCUCACCAUCUGGGAAAAUUGGGCUUCCUCACAAAAUGGUGGUCACCUGGAUCUCUUACAUGACAUCUGGCUUCCAAAAGGGAGUGUACCAACAUAGGUGACACAAGAAGCUGCAAGCAUCUUUAGGCCCAACCUUGAGAGGUACACAACGUCACUUCUGACCAUUAUAUUGGUCAAAGUCAGUCUUCAGGCCUGUCCACAUUCAAGGGGAAUAGAAACCCCUUAUUUCAAUGAAAAGUGGCAAAUAAUUUGUGGCCAUCUUUAGUCCAUUAUGCUAUUUAGACCAUAUUUCUGAUAUGAAGUUAAACAUAUAAAGAAGCUACUACCUAUAUUUAUAAAUUAGAAAAUGGAGAAGAAAAAGAACUUUCAUUAUAAAAUUGUCUUGCCAAUUUCUAGGCUCCUUUAAAAAUAUUGUCUAUGAAUAAUAUGAAAGUUUCAGAAAGCUGCUAUUAGAAUUUGAAGAGAAUGCUGUAAGUAUAUGGUUUAAAUAGUAUCUUCCUACCAAAAUGUCUUAAAAAGUGACGAGAGUAAGGAAGUUUAUUGAACUAAGAAAAAGAAAAGCCUUAAAAUAGAUUGGCCAGUUUCUUCAUUCAUGCGAUUAUUUUUUCAUUUAUUCAUUCAUCCAACAAAUAUUUCUUGAUAUCCCAUUGUGAGCCCAGGGAUUUUGUUAGGCAAGGAGGCUGUAACAAUGAAAAGAAAAAUAUUGUUUUGUUUUCUUAACUGUGCUUACAACUUAAUGUUACAAAUUACUCUAAUGCAUGAGAUUAUUCAGCUGAAGUUUUGAUAAUGUAAAACAACAAAAUUCUUCGUAUAAUCUGUAAAUGAAUUGUAUGUGAAAAUCAUUAUAUAAAACAAUGAAAUACAAAUUCCUGGAUGCAUUUAGUUAUUCAAUCAAAUAAGCAUAAUUUAAGAUUUUGUUAUAUCCCUAGUGCAUCCUAAAUCUUCAGGCCAAUGCGUAAACCAUGUUUUCACAAAAACAGAUGCCUCCCAGCACACAGGACAGCUACAGCUGCUCUGUAGCUCCACGUGGGACCGUCUUCUCUUUGCUUACCAGCCCAUCCCCAGUUCCAAGAAAACAUGAGCUUCUUAAAACAAA
rnacentral:lncRNA from 1 species